GUAGUCGUGGCCGAGUGGUUAAGGCAACAGGCUUGAAAUCUGUUGGGAUAUUCCCGCGCAGGUUCAAAUCCUGCUGACUACG
rnacentral:tRNA from 1 species